GUCCAAGGUAGCCUAGUGGGACAUGGCAUCUGCCCUGUAAGCGGAACAUUGUGGGUUCGAUUCCCAUCCCUGGACA
rnacentral:tRNA from 1 species